rnacentral:sRNA from 1 species
GUAAGGACGAUGCACAAAUCCAGAUUGUCCUCUCUUUGUGGUUUGCUGCAGGUACCCAGCGUGCCAAUGCCCGGGCUCCAGCCCCUUACAAGCGGGAUUUCGAAGCCAAACUGAGGAACUUUUACAGGAAGUUAGAGACUAAAGGAUAUGGACAAGGCCCAGGGAAGUUAAAGUUAAUUAUCCGAAGAGAUCACUUACUAGAAGAUGCUUUUAAUCAGAUUAUGGGCUACUCCAGAAAAGACCUGCAGAGAAAUAAGCUGUAUGUCACCUUCGUC